CAAUGCCGCGUGAGUGAAGAAGGCCUUCGGGUGUAAAGCUCUUUGUCAGGGAAGAAACGGUGGGGGCUAAUAUCCUUCACUAAUGACGGUACCUGAAGAAUAAGCACCGGCUAACUACGUGCCAGCAGCCGCGGUAAUACGUAGGGUGCAAGCGUUAAUCGGAAUUACUGGGCGUAAAGCGUGCGCAGGCGGUUUGUAAGUCUGAUGUGAAAUCCCCGGGCUCAACCUGGGAAUUGCAUUGGAGACUGCAAGGCUAGAAUCUGGCAGAGGGGGGUAGAAUUCCACGUGUAGCAGUGAAAUGCGUAGAGAUGUGGAGGAACACCGAUGGCGAAGGCAGCCCCCUGGGUCAAGAUUGACGCUCAUGCACGAAAGCGUGGGGAGCAAACAGGAUUAGAUACCCUGGUAGUCCACGCCCUAAACGAUGUCUACUAGUUGUCGGGUUUUAAUUAACUUGGUAACGCAGCUAACGCGUGAAGUAGACCGCCUGGGGAGUACGGUCGCAAGAUUA
rnacentral:rRNA from 1 species